rnacentral:rRNA from 1 species
GAGUUUGAUCUUGGCUCAGAUUGAACGCUGGCGGCAUGCCUUACACAUGCAAGUCGAACGGCAGCACGGGAGCUUGCUCCUGGUGGCGAGUGGCGAACGGGUGAGUAAUGCAUCGGAACGUAUCCUGGAGUGGGGGAUAACGUAGCGAAAGUUACGCUAAUACCGCAUAUUCUGUGAGGCAGGAAAGCGGGGGACCUUCGGGCCUCGCGCUCUUGGAGCGGCCGAUGUCGGAUUAGCUAGUUGGUGAGGUAAAGGCUCACCAAGGCGACGAUCCGUAGCAGGUCUGAGAGGAUGAUCUGCCGCACUGGAACUGAGACACGGUCCAGACUCCUACGGGAGGCAGCAGUGGGAACGUUUGGACAAUGGGGGCAACCCUGAUCCAGCCAUG